ensembl:lncRNA
CAUUUCAGUUUAACGCACUGCAGAUGUGUGGGUGUGGGGUUGUGCUUUUUUGGCUGUUCUUUUAUCAACAAACUCCAGAGUCCACCAGUUUCCCAGGAAUCUCGAGAAUUUAGGUCUAAAGAUGUGUCCCGGUAUAUUUCCAGCAAAGAACAGAGCCUGGGAAAACCACCAAUUGACUCACACUGAGAGAAAGAAAAGAGUCAGUUCUGUGUGAAGUCUGGCUUCUAAUAGAUAAGACAUUCCUCUGCAAAUACACACACACACACACACACACAAAGGAGAUGAGUAAUUGAAGAAUCAGUUGGUUUGCAAGGCCCUAAAUGGAUGGACGAGGGAUAUGAGCUGUGCCGUGUGUGUGUGUGUGUGUGUGUGUGUGUGUGUGUGUGUGUGUGUGUGACAGUUUGCACUUCCUCUCUAAACCUUUGUGAUAGAUGAGGUUUGAGUGUGUUUUUCUGCUGCUCCACUGACUCACGAGAGCUUCACGCCCCAGUUACACACACGCAUACACCCCGUAAACUGCGUUUUAUUCUAGCAGUGAUCCUUAAACUGUUCUCCCCGUUGCAGGCAACCCCAGAAUUCUGUUUACUGAAUGACACAUCUGUAAAUGUUUCAGCAACAAAAUGGACUAAAUUCACUCUCACGGAGAAGUCCAAUUAUUAAAAAAAGGAAUGCUAGCUGACAGUCAUAGUAUUUGUGUUAGUAAUUGUGUUUGUUAUUUGCUAGAAAUGAUUUCAGGAUUGAAAAAGAAAAAAAGAAAAAACACACACACACAUUAAAAAAAAACACCACAUAGCUAACAGAACAUGAUUUUGGCUUACCUCAGGAAAAACCGUGAACUAGCAGCAGAAGUUGUUGGGUUCCUGAAUACAACUAAACUAUUUACUUUUGUUAGUUGCUAAUUGCUGUUUUCCACAAACAUCACUAGUGACAUAACCAACGCUAGUCGUAUUGUGUAUAGUUAGCCACUAGCAAGUUAGCUACCUCACCUAAGCUAGUUGUGAGGCUACAUUAGCUAGUUGUGAGGCUACAUAAGCUAGUUGUGAGGCUACAUUAGCUAGUUGUGAGGCUACAUUAGCGAGUUGUGCGGCUACAUAAGCUAGUUGUGAGGCUACAUUAGCGAGUUGUGCGGCUACAUAAGCUAGUUGUGAGGCUACAUUAGCUAGUUGUGAGGCUACAUUAGCUAGUUGUGAGGCUACAUUAGCUAGUUGUGAGGCUACAUAAGCUAGUUGUGAGGCUACAUUAGCUAGUUGUGAGGCUACAUAAGCUAGUUGUGAGGCUACAUUAGUUAGUUGUGAG